GAGACACGUAUCCAACCUGCCGUCUACUCUUGGCCAGCCUUCUGAAAGGAAGAUUAAUCCAGGAUGGCAUCAUGAGUUCACAUGUCCGCAUGAUUAAAGGUAUUUUCCGGUAGACGAUGGGGAUGCGUUCCAUUAGAUAGUAGGCGGGGUAACGGCCCACCUAGUCAACGAUGGAUAGGGGUUCUGAGAGGAAGGUCCCCCACAUUGGAACUGAGACACGGUCCAA
rnacentral:rRNA from 1 species